GAUGAACGCUAGCUACAGGCUUAACACAUGCAAGUCGAGGGACCGGCGCACGGGUGAGUAACACGUAUCCAACCUCCCCUUUACUCGGAGAUAGCCUUUCGAAAGAUAGAUUAAUACCCGAUAUAAAUGAAGGGGAUGCGUUCCAUUAGGUUGUUGGUGAGGAAACGGCUCACCAAGCCUUCGAUGCAUAGGGGUUCUGAGAGGAAGGGCCACCACGUAGGAGCUAAGCCACGGACCACACUCCUACGGGAGGCAGCAGUAAGGAAUAUUGGUCAAUGGAGGCUAGCAUGAACCAGCCAAGUAUCGUGAAGAAUGAAGGCUUAUGGGUCGUAAACUUCUUUUGUAAAAGAAUAUGUAUUAUAUGAAUAAGGAUCGGCUAACUCCGUGCCAGCAGCCGCGGUAAUAC
rnacentral:rRNA from 1 species